rnacentral:rRNA from 1 species
GGUUAAGCGACUAAGCGUACACGGUGGAUGCCCUGGCAGUCAGAGGCGAUGAAGGACGUGCUAAUCUGCGAUAAGCGUCGGUAAGGUGAUAUGAACCGUUAUAACCGGCGAUUUCCGAAUGGGGAAACCCAGUGUGAUUCGUCACACUAUCAUUAACUGAAUCCAUAGGUUAAUGAGGCGAACCGGGGGAACUGAAACAUCUAAGUACCCCGAGGAAAAGAAAUCAACCGAGAUUCCCCCAGUAGCGGCGAGCGAACGGGGAGCAGCCCAGAGCCUGAAUCAGUGUGUGUGUUAGUGGAAGCGUCUGGAAAGGCGCGCGAUACAGGGUGACAGCCCCGUACACAAAAAUGCACAUGCUGUGAGCUCGAUGAGUAGGGCGGGACACGUGGUAUCCUGUCUGAAUAUGGGGGGACCAUCCUCCAAGGCUAAAUACUCCUGACUGACCGAUAGUGAACCAGUACCGUGAGGGAAAGGCGAAAAGAACCCCGGCGAGGGGAGUGAAAAAGAACCUGAAACCGUGUACGUACAAGCAGUGGGAGCACGCUUAGGCGUGUGACUGCGUACCUUUUGUAUAAUGGGUCAGCGACUUAUAUUCUGUAGCAAGGUUAACCGAAUAGGGGAGCCGAAGGGAAACCGAGUCUUAACUGGGCGUUAAGUUGCAGGGUAUAGACCCGAAACCCGGUGAUCUAGCCAUGGGCAGGUUGAAGGUUGGGUAACACUAACUGGAGGACCGAACCGACUAAUGUUGAAAAAUUAGCGGAUGACUUGUGGCUGGGGGUGAAAGGCCAAUCAAACCGGGAGAUAGCUGGUUCUCCCCGAAAGCUAUUUAGGUAGCGCCUCGUGAAUUCAUCUCCGGGGGUAGAGCACUGUUUCGGCAAGGGGGUCAUCCCGACUUACCAACCCGAUGCAAACUGCGAAUACCGGAGAAUGUUAUCACGGGAGACACACGGCGGGUGCUAACGUCCGUCGUGAAGAGGGAAACAACCCAGACCGCCAGCUAAGGUCCCAAAGUCAUGGUUAAGUGGGAAACGAUGUGGGAAGGCCCAGACAGCCAGGAUGUUGGCUUAGAAGCAGCCAUCAUUUAAAGAAAGCGUAAUAGCUCACUGGUCGAGUCGGCCUGCGCGGAAGAUGUAACGGGGCUAAACCAUGCACCGAAGCUGCGGCAGCGACGCUGAUGCGUUGUUGGGUAGGGGAGCGUUCUGUAAGCCUGCGAAGGUGUGCUGUGAGGCAUGCUGGAGGUAUCAGAAGUGCGAAUGCUGACAUAAGUAACGAUAAAGCGGGUGAAAAGCCCGCUCGCCGGAAGACCAAGGGUUCCUGUCCAACGUUAAUCGGGGCAGGGUGAGUCGACCCCUAAGGCGAGGCCGAAAGGCGUAGUCGAUGGGAAACAGGUUAAUAUUCCUGUACUUGGUGUUACUGCGAAGGGGGGACGGAGAAGGCUAUGUUGGCCGGGCGACGGUUGUCCCGGUUUAAGCGUGUAGGCUGGUUUUCCAGGCAAAUCCGGAAAAUCAAGGCUGAGGCGUGAUGACGAGGCACUACGGUGCUGAAGCAACAAAUGCCCUGCUUCCAGGAAAAGCCUCUAAGCAUCAGGUAACAUCAAAUCGUACCCCAAACCGACACAGGUGGUCAGGUAGAGAAUACCAAGGCGCUUGAGAGAACUCGGGUGAAGGAACUAGGCAAAAUGGUGCCGUAACUUCGGGAGAAGGCACGCUGAUAUGUAGGUGAAGUGAUUUACUCAUGGAGCUGAAAUCAGUCGAAGAUACCAGCUGGCUGCAACUGUUUAUUAAAAACACAGCACUGUGCAAACACGAAAGUGGACGUAUACGGUGUGACGCCUGCCCGGUGCCGGAAGGUUAAUUGAUGGGGUCAGCGCAAGCGAAGCUCUUGAUCGAAGCCCCGGUAAACGGCGGCCGUAACUAUAACGGUCCUAAGGUAGCGAAAUUCCUUGUCGGGUAAGUUCCGACCUGCACGAAUGGCGUAAUGAUGGCCAGGCUGUCUCCACCCGAGACUCAGUGAAAUUGAACUCGCUGUGAAGAUGCAGUGUACCCGCGGCAAGACGGAAAGACCCCGUGAACCUUUACUAUAGCUUGACACUGAACAUUGAGCCUUGAUGUGUAGGAUAGGUGGGAGGCUUUGAAGUGUGGACGCCAGUCUGCAUGGAGCCGACCUUGAAAUACCACCCUUUAAUGUUUGAUGUUCUAACGUUGACCCGUAAUCCGGGUUGCGGACAGUGUCUGGUGGGUAGUUUGACUGGGGCGGUCUCCUCCUAAAGAGUAACGGAGGAGCACGAAGGUUGGCUAAUCCUGGUCGGACAUCAGGAGGUUAGUGCAAUGGCAUAAGCCAGCUUGACUGCGAGCGUGACGGCGCGAGCAGGUGCGAAAGCAGGUCAUAGUGAUCCGGUGGUUCUGAAUGGAAGGGCCAUCGCUCAACGGAUAAAAGGUACUCCGGGGAUAACAGGCUGAUACCGCCCAAGAGUUCAUAUCGACGGCGGUGUUUGGCACCUCGAUGUCGGCUCAUCACAUCCUGGGGCUGAAGUAGGUCCCAAGGGUAUGGCUGUUCGCCAUUUAAAGUGGUACGCGAGCUGGGUUUAGAACGUCGUGAGACAGUUCGGUCCCUAUCUGCCGUGGGCGCUGGAGAACUGAGGGGGGCUGCUCCUAGUACGAGAGGACCGGAGUGGACGCAUCACUGGUGUUCGGGUUGUCAUGCCAAUGGCACUGCCCGGUAGCUAAAUGCGGAAGAGAUAAGUGCUGAAAGCAUCUAAGCACGAAACUUGCCCCGAGAUGAGUUCUCCCUGACUCCUUGAGAGUCCUGAAGGAACGUUGAAGACGACGACGUUGAUAGGCCGGGUGUGUAAGCGCAGCGAUGCGUUGAGCUAACCGGUACUAAUGAACCGUGAGGCUUAACCUU